CAGACUGGCUUUUAACCAGAGGCAGUCAUGUCUAGCAUCCUGCAGGAGUUGAAAACCUACUGUAGCCUUGAGUCAUGGUCCAAAAUAGGAUCUCCACCAUGAAUGUACAUUAUGGGCAAUGUACAGGGAAAAGGGACAGCAGCUCAAACUACUUAUGUGUCGUGAUAAAUGAUUGGCCAGUGUCUCAAAGUGACCUGAAAAAUUACACAGGCUGGACUGGCCAGACUUUCUGAACUGCUGAGUCUGUUUUGUUUGGGCACAUGAUUCAGACCCAGAAAUGAGAAACAACAAGAGGAAGAUCCCAGACCUGCGACGGUUUUGACUUCUGCAAUCCUUUGCUCUCUGCAAGUUGUAAGACAUGUGGGAAUUGUGGCUGCCAGCAGCUGAUGCUCUGUUUUACCCAUCCAACGCAGUAAACCAGUUUGUUUUUCUGUUUGUUGAAAUCCUAUCUGCCCAAACUUCUGAGAGAUGUUUUUAAAGGAUUUUAACAAAGGCCUUUUGCAUGGGAGUCAUUUUGUAUUUUGUGGGCAUCAUCUCAUACAGAGGUAUUUUCUUGAUUAAGUGUAAGUUUUAUUAAGCUCUCUCACUAAAGGAUAUUCCUUCUUCUUCCCCACAUUUCUUUUGCAGUAU
rnacentral:lncRNA from 1 species